AACCUCUCCUGUGGCCUAGUGGUUAUAGCUUCCGACUCGAAUGAGGGAGGUCGUGGGUUCGAUCCCCAGCUGAGUCA